GCUCAGUUGGUUAAGUAUCCAACUCUUGAUUUCGGUUCAGGUCAUGAUCUCAAGGUUUGUGAGUUCAAGUCCCACAUUGGGCC
rnacentral:tRNA from 1 species